rnacentral:rRNA from 1 species
AUACGUAGGGGGCGAACGUUGUCCGGAAUGAUUGGGCGUAAAGGGCGCGUAGGCGGCGCGGUAAGUCUGGAGUGAAAGUCCUGCUUUCAAGGGGGGAAUUGCUUUGGAUACUGCCGCGCUUGAGUGCAGGAGAGGUUAUCGGAAUUCCCGGUGUAGCGGUGAGAUGCGUAGAGAUCGGGAGGAACACCAGUGGCGAAGGCGGGUAACUGGACUGCAACUGACGCUGAGGCGCGAAAGUGUGGGGAGCAAACAGGAUUAGAUACCCUGGUAGUCCACACUGUAAACGAUGAAUGCUAGGUGUAAGAGGUAUCGACCCCUUUUGUGCCGGAGUCAACACAAUAAGCAUUCCGCCUGGGGAGUACGGCCGCAAGGUUGAAACUCAAAUGAAUUGACGGGG